AAAAAGGGUUUACAUUGUUUGCAAUCGGGUUUUAAGGAUAAGAAAGUGGUAAAGUAUGAUUUACAAGGGAUUUUAAAAGCUUUUAAAAGGGGUUUACUAGAUUAACAAUCGUUUAAGAAGCAUAAGUUACUGGCAGAGAAUGAUUUACAAGGGAUUUUAAAAGCUUGUAAAAGUGUUUAACUUGAUUUACAAUUGUUAAAAGUAUAUGUAAGUGGCAUAACGAAUGAUUUACAAAGUAUUUUAAAAGGACUUUAAAAGACGUUUUAAGCAGGAGUUUACAAUAGAUUUUAAAAGGUAAAAUAUU
rnacentral:sRNA from 1 species